CCUACGGGGGGCAGCAGUGGGGAAUAUUGGACAAUGGGGGGAACCCUGAUCCAGCCAUGCCGCGUGUGUGAAGAAGGCCCUCGGGUUGUAAAGCACUUCCAGUGAGGAAGAACGCCUGGUGGUUAAUACCCAUCAGGAAAGACAUCACUCACAGAAGAAGCACCGGCUAACUCCGUGCCAGCAGCCGCGGUAAUACGGAGGGUGCGAGCGUUAAUCGGAAUUACUGGGCGUAAAGCGCGCGUAGGUGGCUUGAUAAGCCGGUUGUGAAAGCCCCGGGCUCAACCUGGGAACGGCAUCCGGAACUGUCAAGCUAGAGUGCAGGAGAGGAAGGUAGAAUUCCCGGUGUAGCGGUGAAAUGCGUAGAGAUCGGGAGGAAUACCAGUGGCGAAGGCGGCCUUCUGGACUGACACUGACACUGAGGUGCGAAAGCGUGGGUAGCAAACAGGAUUAGAUACCCCAGUAGUC
rnacentral:rRNA from 1 species